GGGUUGUGAGGUUAAGCGACUAAGCGUACACGGUGGAUGCCCUGGCAGUCAGAGGCGAUGAAGGACGUGCUAAUCUGCGAAAAGCGUCGGUAAGGUGAUAUGAACCGUUAUAACCGGCGAUGUCCGAAUGGGGAAACCCAGUGUGAUUCGUCACACUAUCGUUAACUGAAUACAUAGGUUAACGAGGCGAACCGGGGGAACUGAAACAUCUAAGUACCCCGAGGAAAAGAAAUCAACCGAGAUUCCCCCAGUAGCGGCGAGCGAACGGGGAGCAGCCCAGAGUCUGAAUCAGCUUGUGUGUUAGUGGAACGGUCUGGAAAGUCCGACGGUACAGGGUGAUAGUCCCGUACACCAAAAUGCACAGGUUGUGAACUCGAAGAGUAGGGCGGGACACGUGGUAUCCUGUCUGAAUAUGGGGGGACCAUCCUCCAAGGCUAAAUACUCCUGACUGACCGAUAGUGAACCAGUACCGUGAGGGAAAGGCGAAAAGAACCCCGGCGAGGGGAGUGAAAAAGAACCUGAAACCGUGUACGUACAAGCAGUGGGAGCACCUUCGGGUGUGACUGCGUACCUUUUGUAUAAUGGGUCAGCGACUUAUAUUCUGUAGCAAGGUUAACCGUAUAGGGGAGCCGCAGGGAAACCGAGUCUUAACUGGGCGUUAAGUUGCAGGGUAUAGACCCGAAACCCGGUGAUCUAGCCAUGGGCAGGUUGAAGGUUGGGUAACACUAACUGGAGGACCGAACCGACUAAUGUUGAAAAAUUAGCGGAUGACUUGUGGCUGGGGGUGAAAGGCCAAUCAAACCGGGAGAUAGCUGGUUCUCCCCGAAAGCUAUUUAGGUAGCGCCUCGUGAACUCAUCUUCGGGGGUAGAGCACUGUUUCGGCUAGGGGGUCAUCCCGACUUACCAACCCGAUGCAAACUACGAAUACCGAAGAAUGUUAUCACGGGAGACACACGGCGGGUGCUAACGUCCGUCGUGAAGAGGGAAACAACCCAGACCGCCAGCUAAGGUCCCAAAGUCAUGGUUAAGUGGGAAACGAUGUGGGAAGGCACAGACAGCCAGGAUGUUGGCUUAGAAGCAGCCAUCAUUUAAAGAAAGCGUAAUAGCUCACUGGUCGAGUCGGCCUGCGCGGAAGAUGUAACGGGGCUAAACCAUGCACCGAAGCUGCGGCAGCGACACUAUGUGUUGUUGGGUAGGGGAGCGUUCUGUAAGCCUGCGAAGGUGGCCUGUGAGGGUUGCUGGAGGUAUCAGAAGUGCGAAUGCUGACAUAAGUAACGAUAAAGCGGGUGAAAAGCCCGCUCGCCGGAAGACCAAGGGUUCCUGUCCAACGUUAAUCGGGGCAGGGUGAGUCGACCCCUAAGGCGAGGCCGAAAGGCGUAGUCGAUGGGAAACAGGUUAAUAUUCCUGUACUUGGUGUUACUGCGAAGGGGGGACGGAGAAGGCUAUGUUAGCCGGGCGACGGUUGUCCCGGUUUAAGCAUGUAGGCGGAGGUUCCAGGUAAAUCCGGUACCUUUUAACGCUGAGGUGUGAUGACGAGGCACUACGGUGCUGAAGUAACAAAUGCCCUGCUUCCAGGAAAAGCCUCUAAGCAUCAGGUAACAUUAAAUCGUACCCCAAACCGACACAGGUGGUCAGGUAGAGAAUACCAAGGCGCUUGAGAGAACUCGGGUGAAGGAACUAGGCAAAAUGGUGCCGUAACUUCGGGAGAAGGCACGCUGGUGUGUAGGUGAAGUCCCUGCGGACGGAGCUGAGACCAGUCGAAGAUACCAGCUGGCUGCAACUGUUUAUUAAAAACACAGCACUGUGCAAACACGAAAGUGGACGUAUACGGUGUGACGCCUGCCCGGUGCCGGAAGGUUAAUUGAUGGGGUUAUCCGUAAGGAGAAGCUCUUGAUCGAAGCCCCGGUAAACGGCGGCCGUAACUAUAACGGUCCUAAGGUAGCGAAAUUCCUUGUCGGGUAAGUUCCGACCUGCACGAAUGGCGUAAUGAUGGCCAGGCUGUCUCCACCCGAGACUCAGUGAAAUUGAACUCGCUGUGAAGAUGCAGUGUACCCGCGGCAAGACGGAAAGACCCCGUGAACCUUUACUAUAGCUUGACACUGAACAUUGAGCCUUGAUGUGUAGGAUAGGUGGGAGGCUUUGAAGCGUGGACGCCAGUCUGCGUGGAGCCAACCUUGAAAUACCACCCUUUAAUGUUUGAUGUUCUAACGUUGGCCCCUUAUCGGGGUUGCGGACAGUGUCUGGUGGGUAGUUUGACUGGGGCGGUCUCCUCCCAAAGAGUAACGGAGGAGCACGAAGGUUAGCUAAUCCUGGUCGGACAUCAGGAGGUUAGUGCAAUGGCAUAAGCUAGCUUGACUGCGAGCGUGACGGCGCGAGCAGGUGCGAAAGCAGGUCAUAGUGAUCCGGUGGUUCUGAAUGGAAGGGCCAUCGCUCAACGGAUAAAAGGUACUCCGGGGAUAACAGGCUGAUACCGCCCAAGAGUUCAUAUCGACGGCGGUGUUUGGCACCUCGAUGUCGGCUCAUCACAUCCUGGGGCUGAAGUAGGUCCCAAGGGUAUGGCUGUUCGCCAUUUAAAGUGGUACGCGAGCUGGGUUUAGAACGUCGUGAGACAGUUCGGUCCCUAUCUGCCGUGGGCGCUGGAGAAUUGAGGGGGGCUGCUCCUAGUACGAGAGGACCGGAGUGGACGCAUCACUGGUGUUCGGGUUGUCAUGCCAAUGGCACUGCCCGGUAGCUAAAUGCGGAAGAGAUAAGUGCUGAAAGCAUCUAAGCACGAAACUUGCCCCGAGAUGAGUUCUCCCUGAGACUAUAAGUCUCCUGAAGGAACGUUGAAGACGACGACGUUGAUAGGCCGGGUGUGUAAGCGCAGCGAUGCGUUGAGCUAACCGGUACUAAUGAACCGUGAGGCUUAACCUUACAACGCCGAAGCUGUU
rnacentral:rRNA from 1 species